CAAGAGCGUAUGUAAAAGUUGUUGCAGUUAAAAAGCUCGUAGUUGAACCUUGGGUUUGGUUGGCCGGUCCGCUUUUUUGCGAGUACUGGAUUCAACCGAGCCUUUCCUUCUGGCUAACCAGUCGUUUCGGCGGCUGGCGAACCAGGAUUUUUACUUUGAGAAAAUUAGAGUGUUCAAAGCAGGCAUUAGCUUGAAUAUAUUAGCAUGGAAUAAUAGAAUAGGACGUUAUGGUUCUAUUUUGUUGGUUUCUAGGACCAUCGUAAUGAUUAAUAGGGACGGUCGGGGGCAACAGUAUUCAGUUGUCAGAGGUGAAAUUCUUGGAUUUACUGAAGACUAACUACUGCGAAAGCAUUUGCCAAGGACGUUUUCAUUAA
rnacentral:rRNA from 1 species